rnacentral:rRNA from 1 species
UACGUAGGGAGCAAGCGUUGUCCGGAAUCACUGGGCGUAAAGCGCGCGUAGGUGGCCACAUAAGUCCGUUGUGAAAGUCAAAGGCUCGACCUUUGAAAGCCGAUGGAUACUGUGUGGCUAGAGUACGGAAGAGGCGAGUGGAAUUCCUGGUGUAGCGGUGGAAUGCGCAGAUAUCAGGAGGAACACCAAUAGCGAAGGCAGCUCGCUGGGACGUUACUGACACUGAGGCGCGAAAGCGUGGGGAGCAAAAGGG